ACCAGAGUAGCAAUUGGAGGGCAAGUCUGGUGCCAGCAGCCGCGGUAAUUCCAGCUCCAAUAGCGUAUAUUAAACUUGUUGCAGUUAAAAAGCUCGUAGUUGUAUUUUUGCGUUAGCGGUUUGACCAUUUGGUUGGUUAUUUCGUUUUCGCUUUUGGGAAUUUCCCUUUUUACUUUGAGAAAAUUAGAGUGUUUCAAGCAGACUUUUGUCUUGAAUACUUCAGCAUGGAAUAAUAGAGUAGGACUUUGGUUCUAUUUUGUUGGUUAUUGAACCUUAGUAAUGGUUAAUAGGAACGGUUGGGGGCAUAA
rnacentral:rRNA from 1 species